UCCUUCAGCAUUUCUCUGUGGCUCCAGCCUUAAGUGGAGUCCUGAGAUGAAGAAUGCCCGCUGUGUACAAAAAGAAAAUCCGUUAACACAGGCAGUGCCUAAAUGUCAGCGCUGGGAGAAACUGCAGAAUUCAAGAUGUGUUUGUAAAAUGCCCUACGAAUGUGGACCUUCCUUGGAUGUAUGUGCUCGAGAUGAGAGAAGCAAAAGGAUACUGCCUCUGACAGUUUGCAAGAUGCAUGUUCUCCACUGUCAGGGUAGAAAUUACACCCUUACUGGUAGGGACAGCUGUACUCUGCCUGCCUCAGCUGAGAAAGCUUGUGGUGCCUGCCCACUGUGGGGAAAAUGUGAUGGUAAGGGGCCUUUCAUAUUUGUAAGUAUAAGAAUGCUAAAGUCACAGUACUGAGGAUUUAAAAAAUGUGGUUUCUAGUUUAGCAGUGGGCCGAAGAAGAUACUUGAGGAUGUUGAAGACUCAGACUGAUUUGACAUGCACUGACCUCUCCUAUACCCCUCACUGGAGAAGGGCACAGAUCACAGACCUCAGAGGAUAAGAUUCCCACAUUCCUGAUGUGGAAAUGUUCUCCCAAACAGGGGUGAUUCCAUGCCACCUUCAUGAUUUUUACUCUGUCCUUGUAUUAUCCAUAUUGUGUACUCAUUUUUAAAAAGUCUGACAUAAAAAUAACUUUAAAAUGAAAACUUUAUAUCAUGUCCUUAAAAGGAGGUAUCACUUGCCAUAAAUACUAGGUAACUAUAAAAGUUAUAUGUAAUGGAACUAAAUAAAGUUGUGGACUCUA
rnacentral:sRNA from 1 species